AGUAGGGUCAGCUAAAAAAGCUAUCGGGCCCAUACCCCGAAAACGAUGGUUCAACCCUUCCCCUACUA
rnacentral:tRNA from 2 species